rnacentral:rRNA from 1 species
AGAGUUUGAUCAUGGCUCAGGAUGAACGCUGGCGGUAUGCCUAACACAUGCAAGUCGAACGAUGUCUUAGGACAUAGUGGCGGACGGGUGAGUAACGCGUGAGAAUCUGCCUCUAGGAUGGGGAUAACGGUUGGAAACGACCGCUAACACCCAAUAUGCCGUAAGGUGAAAAAUUUAUUGCCUGGAGAGGAGCUCGCGUCUGAUUAGCUAGUUGGUGGGGUAAGAGCUCACCAAGGCCUCGAUCAGUAGCUGGUCUGAGAGGAUGAGCAGCCACACUGGGACUGAGACACGGCCCAGACUCCUACGGGAGGCAGCAGUGGGGAAUUUUCCGCAAUGGGCGAAAGCCUGACGGAGCAAUACCGCGUGAGGGAGGAAUGCCUUUGGGUUGUAAACCUCUUUUCUCAGGGAAGAAGAUCUGACGGUACCUGAGGAAUAAGUAUCGGCUAACUCCGUGCCAGCAGCCGCGGUAAUACGGAGGAUGCAAGCGUUAUCCGGAAUCAUUGGGCGUAAAGCGUCCGCAGGUGGUUUCCAAAGUCUGCUGUUAAAGACUGGAGCUCAACUCCGGAACGGCGGUGGAAACUUGGAAACUAGAGUUCGGUAGGGGUAGCAGGAAUUCCCAGUGUAGCGGUGAAAUGCGUAGAUAUUGGGAAGAACAUCGGUGGCGAAGGCGUGCUACUGGACCGUAACUGACACUCAGGGACGAAAGCUAGGGGAGCGAAAGGGAUUAGAUACCCCUGUAGUCCUAGCUGUAAACGAUGGAAACUAGGUGUGGCUUGUAUCGACCCGAGCCGUGCCGUANCUAACGCGUUAAGUUUCCCGCCUGGGGAGUACGCACGCAAGUGUGAAACUCAAAGGAAUUGACGGGGGCCCGC